CGGGAUUGCAGGGCGUCGGCCACUCAGCUGCUGUGAGUUCAGAGAAAGGAGGCGAUGCUGGCUUUGAGGGAGACCCUUCCUUCCCCUCUGACCACUGCAUGUGUCACCCUGACGUGUCUCCUCCCGAAGACAGAGACCCUGCCUUUCUGGAUGGUUGUCAUCAGCCACCUUCUCCGCUGUGCUUGGAAUAAGUGCUUUGGUAGAGGCAGAGGACAUCGAGAUGGGCCCAGCCGAGCUUCAAGAUGGAAGGAACGGGGGGCCCUCAAUCACUCCUGGAGACGAGAGCCUCCCAUCCUUCGGGAGCCC
rnacentral:lncRNA from 1 species